rnacentral:rRNA from 1 species
GACGAACGCUGGCGGCGUGCCUAAUACAUGCAAGUUGAGCGCUGAAGGUUGGUACUUGUACCGCCUGGAUGAGCAGCGAACGGGUGAGUAACGCGUGGAGAAUCUGCCUUUAAGCGGGGGACAACAUCUGGAAACGAAUGCUAAUACCGCAUAAAAACUUGAAACACAUGUUUUAAGUUUGAAAGAUGCUAUUGCAUCACCCAAUGAUGAUCUCCCGGUGUAUUAGCUUGUUGGGGAGGUAAAAGCUUACCAAAGCGAUGAAACAUAGCCGACCUGAGAGGGGGAUCGGCCACACUGGGAAAGAGACACGGCCCCAACUCCCACAGGAGGCAGCAGAAGGGAAUAUUCGGCGAUGGGCGAAAGUCUGACCGAGCAAAGCCGCGUGAGUGAAGAAGGGUUUCGGGUCGUAAAAAUCUGUUGGUAGAGAAGAAAGUUGGUGAGAGUGGAAAGCUCAUCAAGUGACGGUAACUACACAGAAAGGGACGGCUAACUACGUG